GCCACUAAAUGCUAAUUAUAUACAAGCAUAAACGUAAAGAGAAUGCAUUAAAGUCUUAAUCCUUCACUGACCCAACAGAGUAAAAACUUGAUUAACACUAAGAGGGAUUUGGUUAUUAGAGUUCAUUGCAAAGGUUGAUUUCUCUCUUUCUCUAAAAAUAUCAUUGCACUUCUGUGGACUUUAUAUAAAUCCAAAUUGUACGUGCAUUGGACGAAAAGUAACAGAUUUAGACAGUCUAAAAGUUUGAAUUCACGUAAAGCCUCACACAGCACUUUUCCUUUCCCAACAACAUACAUAUAACCAAAGUAUCAAACACAGAGGUACCACACAAAAGGAUUGCAGGUG
rnacentral:lncRNA from 1 species